ACAUUCGAAAGACCCGUGAUUCUUUUAAUUGCCGAGCAUUUGGGGAAAGGAAGUCUUUGUCCUUUCCUUGACAUUUCUCAGAAACACCUCGGAAAACAAUUAAAGAACACGGGUCUUCCAGACACGCAGCAUUCACAGGAAAGAUGUCGGGCAUUGCGUUCACAGUCCUCUCCUUGGCUCUUAUCAUGACGUUCGUCGUGCUGCCAGAAGUUUACGCCAAACCUGAAUCUGUCAGAAAGUGUACAUACAAUUGCAUGAAGGCCCUGUUUACCUGUAAGCGACGGAGUGAGGGAGACUGCUGUUAUAAGUAUACAGACUGCUCUCUUUCCUGUGGAAUAUCGGCACCGCCAUGUGCGGCGAAACGAGGGAGCUGGAACAAAAGAUACCAAGGUUUCCAUGGAUACAACGAUGAAGAUUUCUACCCUUAUCUUUAAACCUGAUAUGGACAUGAUGUAGAUGAAUUAGAUCACCAACUGAAUGCUUAAAACACUUACCAAAUUGUUUGUUUUUACUCUGAAACCUGACACAAUUCAGCUCUUAAUAAUCUGUUCAAUAAUUCACCGGUACCAGUUUUUUUUAUACCCUAUUUGCCGUCUGUAGAAAUGAAUCUCAAAAAUAAUUAAACACAUGUUCUCAUAUUCUUCCACACACAUGUAUGGCGUAGUUGAACUCUUUUCGGUCAUGUAUCCAAUACAACAAAUAAACACUGUGAAUGCAU